AUUCCCAACAAUUUCCACUUUUUUUGUUCGAGAAGAAGGACGCGGAUGCUUGUGAGUCAACGGAAGGCUUGGAAAAGAGCUCGAAGCACAAUUACUUCGUUUUUGUUGCGACUGAGGUUUAUUUACGAAAUUUAAGGAUGGAAUAAUGGUAAUGGAGAAAUCAGCUGGAAAGUUUGCUUCAGUCACAUGUUGAGCAAAUUUGUCAAAGUUUGCUUUGAACCAUUUUACUUCAAAAUUUGGAUGCCAGAGUGACAGACUUAAGUUCAACCAGACGUCAAAAUUAUGUAUACCUGGCUCGCGCCUCCCCUGCACAUUGCUGACGCCCCCCUAGGGGGGUGCGCCUCCCAGGUUGAGAACCACUCCUCUAGAGUAUCCAUGAAUUUCCAGGUAAUUUCAUCAGUGCUCGUUCUUGACUGGCGUCAUUUACUGCACCCAGUGAAUAGUUCUUAAGCUUGACAUACGUAGUAUAGUUGAUUUACAAUUAAAAUGUGUUGCUGUAUUAAAUCCUCGGUAUCUUAAGGGGCACAGCGUUUGUAACAAGUAACUAAG